GGAAUCAUUUUGGGAAUGAAAAUCGAUCUGCAACAGUCCACCUGAUGAGGGACUUGUGUUGGUAGUAUUCAUACUUCUUAAGAUGAUCCAUGAUGAAGAAUUGAUUUUUCGUGACCUGAAAGGGGGCCGGGCUCAGUGCAUCAUUUCAUCUGGUCUUCUGUGGACAUAGCCAAGGUAAGGCAAGAAGAAUUUUAGCACACCUAUGCAAGGUUAUUAAAGAAGGAUUCUUCAGAGUCAUAGCCAGUUCAGGAUGUAUGUCUCAACACCUCCCUUACUUUGUUUCCAGAUGAUUUCCAUCAUCCAGGUAUGUUUUACACUUCCUGCUGUAUUUCCACCACCUUUAGUAGCAUGGCAAUAUUAUGGAAAAGGAAUGAGCCCUGGUGACAAACUAAAGUACUGGUACUGGUGAUGCUGAUGUGAUCACAAUAUAUACAUGUAUAGAAGCAAACAUCAGCUCUUAAACUUAAUUGGCUAACAAUUGAAACUAGUAUGAUUGUAUAUGAUGAAUAUACAAUAUUAAUCUAUGUAAAAAUUGAUGAUAAAUACAAGAUUUUCUGUAGCAGUAUAUUCUGCUUUUUGUUUGUCUGUAAUUAAAUUUCAUUAAUUCUAAAAGUUGUUGGAGGUGUAGCACUUGGGGGGGAGGCAGACCUUGUGGGGAGCAAACUACGUCUUGGGAGGCAAUGUCUUCCCUCUCCUGUUGAUGCCCAUGGAUCACAGUCUUAACUACCAAGAGAGUUUUCUGGAUGACAUGACUGCCCUUCACAUAUCCACUUUUGCAAGGACAAAAAUUCAGGGGGUAGAUGCCUGCUCUGGUCAGCCUCCCUUGUCAUACAACUAAGCUUUGAACAAUAGUAUCUUCCAUGACCUGACAGUGAGGUUCAAGAGGCUCCAGAUUGAUCUAACUGCAUUCUCAGUCGAUACCACACUCAAGAGAUUUUUGUCUAAGUAGAAGAUUGCACCAGAAGAAUGUAAAUAUACAGGUGGCUGUACAUUUACCUGUUUCCUUUUCCCCUGACUUUCAUUGUGCUCUGGGUCAUCAAUCACCCUAGACAAUUUAAUGGAUAUGUUGUAAUAGCUCCACUGUAGGUGAUGCAGUCUUGGAUACAUGCCUACGUCUUCUGGUGCUCUUACUCUUUUUCUCAGGUGAAGAAUGCCGUUUUGGAAGCCUCUAUGGAUUGCUUCAAGACAUCCUUGAGGUUACACACUUGGAGCUUCUCUCCAGCUUAGUUCAGUUGACAGUCUGGAUUAAUUAAAUUCAAUUUGUACAUUUUUACUGGUGUUCACUUUUCCCUCCUAUUGUCUGUGUUCAUAACAUUAGUCUGAUGUUGGAAGACCUUUCUCUCAAUUUGCUAUAUCAUAUGACAGUUCUCAGGGUGAGACACCUCUCCUUCAUGGUCAUUGCGCAAGGGCUUUAGUUUCCUCUUUUCAUGUUAUGCCACUGAACCAGCUUAUAUGGACUCUCUGUACAGGGCUGUUUUUCACAUGACUUGCUGUUUUUCUUCUGAUUCUUUGUAUCCUUAAGUCUUCAGAGGCUUGGGUGUCUGCCAAGUAUUCAGACCUGUAGUAGUUGAUGCUAGGUCUGACAAGCAUAUUUUUUGAGCAUACUCCACUUUUCUAUGGGUAUGAUCCAAUGCACAGCAUCACUCAAAUACCACUCAUUAGGUGUGGAGCUAUCCUUCCACAACUUCUUUUCCUUGAACAUUUGAUCUUCAGAGAAUCCAUGACUCAGGGCGUUGGUCUCCAUGCUACUCUGUUUUGAACUGAAGUUGAGCUUUGUCCAAGAAGGCUGCUUCCUAGAUUUUCCUUCUUUCAUGUAGUUUCUACAACUUUUUGUUUCUUACUGGUUCAACAUUCUGACUAGUUUUAUAUCAUAUGACAGCUGAGCUGACAGGAAGAGGAGUAGUUGGUGUUUGAGGAGUUGCCAAGUUGUAUUCCUUGGCUAUUGGAUAAAUGUGCUACUGAUAUGGUUACAGGAAGUCAACUCAAUUGAGACUUUUAGUCAGGCUUGUCCUUGAUCAUAUAACCUUUACACCAUGUAUUUGAAAAGUAAUAGUUGUCACAUUCAAAAUGUUUUUUUGUUUUUUUUUACUGAGAUUAUCAUGGCAAGAAUGUACAGGAAUGAAUGAAUAUAUGAUGUAAAUUCAGAUAGUUUGGAAGUUUUAGUUAUUGAAAUACUAUUAUAUAUUAUUCAGUUUUAUCCCAUAGUAAACUUUGUGAUAAACUUCUCAACAGUGACUAAUAGAAUCACUGUUGAGAAGUAUUACAUUAGAUUACUGGUCUUUCUUUACAGUUAUUAUUAUAAUUGUUAGUAGUAGUAGUAGUAGUAUAGUAGUAGUAAUAUAGUAGUCAUAGUAGUAGAAGUAGUAAUAGUAGUAGUUGUAGUAUUUUACUAAAAACUUCAUAUUUUGUUUCAUCAUUGCUUUCCUUAUCUGCUUAACUUUUGUAUGAAAUACCUGUAUGGAUUUCUCAUAGUCCAUUUUCUAGAUUUGUUUUCACUGUCAAAAAGGAAUACUGAUUAUAUUUUGUCAAAUAUUUUAAGAAAAUUUUGAUGUGACAGUAUUUUUAAAAAAUGCCCGUAAUGAUGUACAUUGUAUCUGGAGAGGAAGACAGCAGCAUCUUACUGUUUUAUUUGUGUGUGUAAAAGAAAUUUCUUGUUAGAAGUUCAGUGAAAUGACACCUUAUUUUACAUAUUUAUUUAGUUUGUAAUUUAUAGUUGCAUUUGUAGCCUUCACACUGAAAGCUUUUUUGGUCAACUUUAAACCAAUACAUGUGACACAGCAUUUACCUUAUUCUGGAGUGACUGAUAUGCACAGGAUUUGCUGUUAUGAGUUGAGCGAUAUAUCAACAUUCUCAUGAAUUUUUGUCACUUAUUGGACAUCAUGUGUAUGACUAGGUUUUUCAAUCAUGCAGUUAUUAUAUGGCUGUGUUUUGUGAUUCAUUACAAUAUCUUAUGAAAUCUUAUGUGUUUCAUCCCACAAGUGCCUUAGACUUCAACAGGAUACCCUGCAUCUGUUUCAAAACUAAAUAAUCAUGUAUUUUAUCUGAAUAAUUUUUUAGUUUUGUAAUUAAUUUAAGUUUAUUCCCAGCCUUUAUCAAGUGUAUUUUUAGUGCAAUGAGAUGGUGGAGUGUCUGCAAUAGUGGUUCCCAACUAUUUUGCAAAUCAAUAUGUCUGGCUUUUGAAAUACUUCCAGUUGAGAAUGAAACAUGAAAAUGUAGAAAGUUAAUUUAAGUUAACCUAUCCCAAAGUUUCCCAUUGAUUAAAGCUUAUCAGGUUAUCUUAGAGAGUAAUCUUACAGUAGUUCCUACAUUUUCAAUAUAGUAAUUGUUUACAUAUGUAAUACAUAUGUAUUCCUAUAUUGAAUAAUAAAUAAAUGAUAUGUUGCAGAAAUCAUUGUUAUAUUUUUAGGGAGUUGCUAGACUGAAAAAGUUGAGGACCACUGGUCUGUAACAUGUUGUAGUAGUCUUUUAGACUUACAACGCAGUAUCUCAAAUGAUUUUUCCUCUUUACAUUGACUAUUUUGUUGACUCAGUGUGCAUAUCCUCCCAUUACUAAUCUUUCACAUCUAUUGUUUGCCCCUAUCAAGUUGUUGAUACUCAGGUCAGCCCAUUAAUAAUCUGUAAAACUAAAAAACACCCCUGCUGACUCUUUUAUUGAUUCAUGAUAGUAUUUUUAACAUUUUCUGUAUCUUUGUAUUUUAAUAUUAGCUUGAUAAUUGUUUUGUUGCCCUCCUCUGCAUACAUUCAAUUAAUUACCUCAACCUGUAUUAGUAUAAUCCAGUUGCAGUCUCACCUUAACUUUAUAUAGUUUGAGAAAUGUUUCUUUUUUGAGAAAUCUGCAUGAUCCUUGAAUGUUUCCCAUUGUACAGUUUGCUGUAUUGAUUAUCUUGUUGAUAUGGCUAUCAAAUUUCAGGUCUUUCUCAAUAAACAUCCCUGUGCAUUUAU